UAACGCGUGAAGUUGACCGCCUGGGGAGUACGGUCGCAAGAUUAAAACUCAAAGGAAUUGACGGGGACCCGCACAAGCGGUGGAUGAUGUGGAUUAAUUCGAUGCAACGCGAAAAACCUUACCUACCCUUGACAUGGUCGGAACCCUGCUGAAAGGUGGGGGUGCUCGAAAGAGAACCGGCGCACAGGUGCUGCAUGGCUGUCGUCAGCUCGUGUCGUGAGAUGUUGGGUUAAGUCCCGCAACAAGCGCAACCCUUGUCCUUAGUUGCUACGCAAGAGCACUCUAGGGAGACUGCCGGUGACAAACCGGAGGAAGGUGGGGAUGACGUCAAGUCCUCAUGGCCCUUAUGGGUAGGGCUUCACACGUCAUACAAUGGUCGGAACAGAGGGUUGCGAUACUGUGAGGUGGAGCUAAUCCCAAAAAGCCGGUCUCAGUUCGG
rnacentral:rRNA from 1 species